rnacentral:rRNA from 1 species
GGGUUGUGAGGUUAAGCGACUAAGCGUACACGGUGGAUGCCCUGGCAGUCAGAGGCGAUGAAGGACGUGCUAAUCUGCGAAAAGCGCCGGCGAGGUGAUAUGAACCUUUGACCCGGCGAUGUCCGAAUGGGGAAACCCAGUGUGAUUCGUCACACUAUCGUUAACUGAAUACAUAGGUUAACGAGGCGAACCGGGGGAACUGAAACAUCUAAGUACCCCGAGGAAAAGAAAUCAACCGAGAUUCCCCCAGUAGCGGCGAGCGAACGGGGAGCAGCCCAGAGUCUGAAUCAGCUUGUGUGUUAGUGGAAGCGUCUGGAAAGUCGCACGGUACAGGGUGACAGUCCCGUACACGAAAAUGCACAGGUUGUGAACUCGAAGAGUAGGGCGGGACACGUGGUAUCCUGUCUGAAUAUGGGGGGACCAUCCUCCAAGGCUAAAUACUCCUGACUGACCGAUAGUGAACCAGUACCGUGAGGGAAAGGCGAAAAGAACCCCGGCGAGGGGAGUGAAAAAGAACCUGAAACCGUGUACGUACAAGCAGUGGGAGCACCUUCGUGGUGUGACUGCGUACCUUUUGUAUAAUGGGUCAGCGACUUAUAUUCUGUAGCAAGGUUAACCGUAUAGGGGAGCCGAAGGGAAACCGAGUCUUAACUGGGCGUUAAGUUGCAGGGUAUAGACCCGAAACCCGGUGAUCUAGCCAUGGGCAGGUUGAAGGUUGGGUAACACUAACUGGAGGACCGAACCGACUAAUGUUGAAAAAUUAGCGGAUGACUUGUGGCUGGGGGUGAAAGGCCAAUCAAACCGGGAGAUAGCUGGUUCUCCCCGAAAGCUAUUUAGGUAGCGCCUCGUGAACUCAUCUUCGGGGGUAGAGCACUGUUUCGGCUAGGGGGCCAUCCCGGCUUACCAACCCGAUGCAAACUACGAAUACCGAAGAAUGUUAUCACGGGAGACACACGGCGGGUGCUAACGUCCGUCGUGAAGAGGGAAACAACCCAGACCGCCAGCUAAGGUCCCAAAGUCAUGGUUAAGUGGGAAACGAUGUGGGAAGGCACAGACAGCCAGGAUGUUGGCUUAGAAGCAGCCAUCAUUUAAAGAAAGCGUAAUAGCUCACUGGUCGAGUCGGCCUGCGCGGAAGAUGUAACGGGGCUAAACCAUGCACCGAAGCUGCGGCAGCGACGCUUAUGCGUUGUUGGGUAGGGGAGCGUUCUGUAAGCCGUUGAAGGUGGCCUGUGAGGGUUGCUGGAGGUAUCAGAAGUGCGAAUGCUGACAUAAGUAACGAUAAAGCGGGUGAAAAGCCCGCUCGCCGAAAGACCAAGGGUUCCUGUCCAACGUUAAUCGGGGCAGGGUGAGUCGACCCCUAAGGCGAGGCCGAAAGGCGUAGUCGAUGGGAAACAGGUUAAUAUUCCUGUACUUGGUGUUACUGCGAAGGGGGGACGGAGAAGGCUAUGUUAGCCGGGCGACGGUUGUCCCGGUUUAAGCAUGUAGGCGGAACGAUUAGGUAAAUCCGGUCGUUUUUUAACGCUGAGGUGUGAUGACGAGGCACUACGGUGCUGAAGUAACAAAUGCCCUGCUUCCAGGAAAAGCCUCUAAGCAUCAGGUAACAUCAAAUCGUACCCCAAACCGACACAGGUGGUCAGGUAGAGAAUACCAAGGCGCUUGAGAGAACUCGGGUGAAGGAACUAGGCAAAAUGGUGCCGUAACUUCGGGAGAAGGCACGCUGAUAUGUAGGUGAAGCCCCUGCGGGUGGAGCUGAAAUCAGUCGAAGAUACCAGCUGGCUGCAACUGUUUAUUAAAAACACAGCACUGUGCAAACACGAAAGUGGACGUAUACGGUGUGACGCCUGCCCGGUGCCGGAAGGUUAAUUGAUGGGGUUAGCGGUAACGCGAAGCUCUUGAUCGAAGCCCCGGUAAACGGCGGCCGUAACUAUAACGGUCCUAAGGUAGCGAAAUUCCUUGUCGGGUAAGUUCCGACCUGCACGAAUGGCGUAAUGAUGGCCAGGCUGUCUCCACCCGAGACUCAGUGAAAUUGAACUCGCUGUGAAGAUGCAGUGUACCCGCGGCAAGACGGAAAGACCCCGUGAACCUUUACUAUAGCUUGACACUGAACACUGGUCCUUGAUGUGUAGGAUAGGUGGGAGGCUUUGAAGUGUGGACGCCAGUCUGCGUGGAGCCGUCCUUGAAAUACCACCCUUUAAUGGCUGGUGUUCUAACGUAGACCCGUAAUCCGGGUUGCGGACAGUGUCUGGUGGGUAGUUUGACUGGGGCGGUCUCCUCCCAAAGAGUAACGGAGGAGCACGAAGGUUAGCUAAUCCUGGUCGGACAUCAGGAGGUUAGUGCAAUGGCAUAAGCUAGCUUGACUGCGAGAGUGACGGCUCGAGCAGGUGCGAAAGCAGGUCAUAGUGAUCCGGUGGUUCUGAAUGGAAGGGCCAUCGCUCAACGGAUAAAAGGUACUCCGGGGAUAACAGGCUGAUACCGCCCAAGAGUUCAUAUCGACGGCGGUGUUUGGCACCUCGAUGUCGGCUCAUCACAUCCUGGGGCUGAAGUAGGUCCCAAGGGUAUGGCUGUUCGCCAUUUAAAGUGGUACGCGAGCUGGGUUUAGAACGUCGUGAGACAGUUCGGUCCCUAUCUGCCGUGGGCGCUGGAGAAUUGAGGGGGGCUGCUCCUAGUACGAGAGGACCGGAGUGGACGCAUCACUGGUGUUCGGGUUGUCAUGCCAAUGGCACUGCCCGGUAGCUAAAUGCGGAAAAGAUAAGUGCUGAAAGCAUCUAAGCACGAAACUUGCCCCGAGAUGAGUUCUCCCUGAGACUUUAAGUCUCCUGAAGGAACGUUGAAGACGACGACGUUGAUAGGUCGGGUGUGUAAGCGCAGCGAUGCGUUGAGCUAACCGAUACUAAUGAACCGUGAGGCUUAACCUUACAACGCCGAAG